rnacentral:lncRNA from 1 species
CCCGCCGAGUCGACUCCGCGGUGCCAGCCCCGCUGUGACGCAGGCCGCGCCGCCCGGGAACUUCCUCCCCUGCAGAGACCACCUCGCUCCCGGGACUCGCCAGCGAGGGAUGCCGCCGGCCGCCGGGGGCCUUCUCCAGGACCAGGAGAGAAAUCCUCUCUCCGCUUCACGACGCGGCCACUCCCACCCCUGAGACGCCCACCUGGCGGACUCUGAGGGAGGAUUCGGCUGCGUCUAAUACCACCUCCACCCCUCAUCCCUCACAAUGCGCGGAAAACCACAGGCGGCUGUGCGCGCAGCGUCGGCUCAGCCACCGCAGCUCCUCCCCUGGGAUGAAAAAGCACUCUGACGUCUUGAAAGCUGGCAGCUCUCUGUUUGGAAAAUCUCUGCCCAGUGAAAAAAUGUACCGACAAGAUUACUAAGUAACACAGUCUUCUGGGAAUGCCUUAUCAAUGCCAGCUAUUUGAAGAGCACCCAAAGUCAAACUAGUGCUCCGCGCUGGCAGUCUGGAAAAGGCAGAUGUAUUGUUAAACAGGAAAUGGAGAAACAGGCACCAAGAAGAAAGGAGAGAGAUGAGGCGUUCUAUGAACAUCUGUCCCUGAUGAAUUCCAAGGAAAGACGGGCCCACUCAUGAGAGAUCUACUACCCCCCGCAACCCAUGUAUUCUAGGAUCCACGCAGCUCUUUUCAGGUGCUUGUUAUUUUGUGGCCAUGGUAGCAUAUUUUGAAAACUCAUACCAUUGUUGUAAGAUUCACAUGUAAAUCUGAAAUCUAUUAUUUGGUGAAUAACAGUACGACAGUACAAGGAAGCAUGAGAAGAGAGAGGGAAUCACUUUUGGAACUUGGUUAAAAUUAGUACAGUCAACUUCUUCCAGCAUUUACUGUUUUUAUUUGCCAUUUG